UGGUGGUGUAGGUGUAGCGGUGGAGGAGGAAGAUAAGGUAGCCAACACUGUAUGUAUAUAUAUAUAUAUAUAUAUAUAUAUAUUUAUUUAUAAUUGGGGUAGCCCCCAAAAUAUUGGGACAUGUAAAAAAAGACAACUCUGUUCCGCAGAGUAGCUGUUGACAUUAUAGUUGCGCAGGCACUUUGUUGACUCUAGAGUACCUCGGGCCAAUCGCACAUCACCGUGACGGCGACUUUGCAUUCGGAUGUCAUCCAUAUCAACUUUCGAUGCCAGUUUCUGCACCUACCAUGGUGACCACAGGUAACGGGGAAUCAGGGUUCCAUUUCGUACAGGGACCCUGAGAAACGGCUACCACAUGCAAUGAAGGCAGCAGGCGCGCAAAUGACCCACUCCCGAAGCGGGAAAGUAGUGACGACAAAUAACAAAUAACAAUACAGGACUCUUUAGAGGCCCUGUAAUUGUAAUGAGUCCACUUGAAAUCCUUUAACUCUGAUCAAUUGGAGGGUGUCAGGAUCGUGACAGGGAUCCAACA
rnacentral:rRNA from 1 species